rnacentral:miRNA from 1 species
GAAGCUCGUUUUUACAGGUAUCU